UGUAUCCCAAUAAGCACAGCAAUUAUGUGGUUACUUAUUUAACAUCUGUCACUCAUGCUAAAGUACACUUUAGCUCCAUGAGGACGGGGACUUUGUCUCUGUCAUUGUUCUGUGUUAUUUGUAGUGCCAAGUAUAGUUCCUUACACAUAGCUACUCAGUAAAUAAUCACUGUGAUUUUGGCAAAUCAUUAGGAGUUGAAUGCCUGUCUGUUAAGCUUCAGGACCUUUCUUCUUUAAGGACCACAAAGGAAGUGUUUCUUAAUGAAAUUACACAAGAGGCUCUUCCUCAUCUCAAUGCAAAAUUGGCAACCUAACUAUACAGUUAUUCAUUAACUUUAGAUAUACUGCUGAGGGUGUGGUUCUGAGAAAAGGAACUGAAAGUCUUCAGCAGAUCUCCCAGUACUGGAUGGUAAGCUCUUCAGAGCAGUCCCACAUGUCUGAGCACCUGUUUUUGAAGAAAGUUGGUGGGAAAGGCUCUAAGGACUCUGUGUCCCAUUAGGGAACUUCACAAGAGAUAAACACACCUGCUCGUUUACCAGUGUUUCUGACUUCCCACUGAACUGAAAAUUGCUUGUUUGGUGGGAAAACAAAACUUGGCAGCAAAUCUCUAAAAUGAAGACCCCUAAAACCUUUGAGGAGCAAACAGAAUGCAUCAUGGACUUUCUACUCACAGACUUAUUAGGCAUACCUUCAAAGGUGACUAACCGGGACCUAUGUGGUGAAGGUGAACUUGAAGCAGAUUCAGGAGAGGCUUGCUCUUUUGACGUGGCCAUCAUUGCUGGUCGCCUUCGGAUGUUGGGGGACGAGUUCAACGGAGAACUGGAAGCUUCUGCCAGAAGUGUCAUUGCAGAAACCGUUCGGGGACAGGUAGGAGCUGUCCUUCAGAACACAGUAAAAUCUCUCAGCAAGGCCUGGUGUGCUCAGAAUUCCAGCUUAGCUUAUGAGAGAGCCUUUUUGGCAGUUUCAAUGAAACUGCUUGAAUGUGUGGUCCGCCUAGCUCCAGAAAUGGCAAGACAGGUGGCGACCCCCAUGGCAGAUAUGAUCAAUGGGAAUGGCGCCAUCCGGGAGUUCAUCCAGGGCCAGGGAGGUUGGGAAAAUCUGGAGAGCUGAAGAAGAGGGAGAGCUCCUUCCCAGCCUGAACAUCGCUUCCUCUCUGACUAAUCAGAGUAAAGGAUCCUCGAAUGAAAAUAAUUUGUUGAACACUUCUGCAGCACCUCUCUUCCCAUUCUCUUGCACGUGUGUGGAUCUCAAUGAAUGAAUGAACAUCAAACGAAAGAUGAGACUUCAAGUUUGAUUAUAGUUUUAAUAAGAUGCCAACCAAGCCUCACCAAGUAUCUCGAACCUCUAUUUUUUAAAAAAUUUAAAAAAAGGUAAAUUAUUUCUGUUGCAACUUGUUGGUUGACCUUUGCCUCCUGAGGACUGUAUUUGUGAAACCAAAGGCAGAGUACGAGUCCCUGAGUGGUGUGUGUGGGAAACUAUGAAGUUGACAGCAGCUGAACUGACACGCUUGGAGAGUCUCAGAAUGCUGUAGUGACGAGAAGCAGGUUGGAAGAUGGGCAGGGCACCUCCCUGCUGUGGAUGAUGUGAGAACAUGAGCAAAAGGCUUCAGCAGAGAUGCUUUAGAAACCUCUUCUGUUUCUCUUUACAAAAGAAGAAAGGACGGCUAGUCUGGAAAUAAAGGAGGUCAAUUUUUUUUUCUGUCCAUUGCAGCGCUUCGGGGCUGGACUGUGUGUCUCAUUAGUAGCUCCAUUCCUUUUGUCAUAAUAGCCCUGCUGCCCGAGCAGCCACAUUCAGGUAGGGCCUCUUUGCCAGGUUCCUGGACCUCCCUCUGCUCCCAGCACAGCGAAAGUGCCCAGCCAGGGACCAGCACAGACUGUGCCAGGCAAGAGGCUUGGAGUAGCUGAUGCAGCGAGUGACCAAGUCAGCGGGGGCCUCUCACCAAAGCCUAAGCACAUCCCUGUAUGCAGCACACUUCAUCCAAUAGACUGCUUUUAGGUAGGCUCAAGAUCGCGUUAAGCCCUAUGGGUUAUACAAAUGCAUAGAAGAUACUGUCAUUGCCUCUGAUAAACAAAGCUACAGGGGACAUUUUAUGUGUUUUCUUUUGCAUGAACUCUUAAAUAAACUGGUGGGAGACAAAGAGCAUGUGAAGAAACUGAAAAUUUCUGAAUAUAAAUAUAAAGAUUUAUACCAAAAGGAUCCAGGCUAAGAGAAAGUCACAGUGAGAUGGAGUUAGGGACAGGCUUUUUUAAGAGUAACUAGGUUUUAUGGCUUUCUUUUUCAUCUUGGUGAAAAUUAGGGGGAAAGGUGAGAGGCAGCAGCAGAGCCAGGUCUAUGGGUGAUGUGGUUGGAUAGACGAGUGGGGACACUUGAUGGGGAGGGGCUUGUGACGAGCUGAGGAAUCCGGACUUAUUCCCAUAGACUAUCAGUCAGUACUUUGGUUCUUCAGCCUUAAAGUGGAGUUUUCAGAACGUUCACCCAGCCUUGGUUAUUAGUAGAUACUAGAGUGGGAAAUGUAUAGACACGGAGGUAGCUUAUUGCUGUGGGAGUCCAGUUGUGAAAAGGGAGUGGUGGUUAGCCUGGGAAUGGAAGAGGCAGCUUGAAUCUAAAAGACAUUGAGGAGAAAGGACCACUAGGCCUCAGUGACCAAGAGGAUGUUUGCAAAGGACGGAGUGUUUCACAGAGAAUACACACAGCCCAUAUCAAAUCCAUGACCCUGGGACGGAGGGGAAGUGGCUCCCCCGGGUAAACCAUGCCUCCUCAUAGAGAGAGAAGGAGGUUCUCAGAAACCCAUUGACUAGUUUACUAGUAUCUUGUGCUCAUAAUCUCCCCUGACAUCCUCUUUGGUGAAAGUUUUGUUGUCAUCUAAUUCCCGACUUCGGUGACACUGCUAUUUCCCCUUCAAGUGGCACACUCUCCUCUUGUGGGAACAGGUGACAGUGUCAUGGGCACUCCUCUCUGUUGUCAUCUUCCUGCUGAGCAAGCCUCAGAGCCACAGGAGGGAGCAGUCGCGUGUUCCUUUCUCAGCCUUCAGCUGCUCAUUCACGACUUCACUUUCCACUGGCAUUCACCCUGGAUGGUUCUGAUGAAGUGUUCAUGCGCCUUUUACUGCAUGGAAUUGUUGUGUUCACUCAGGGCUUGUGCCACACUGGUUUAAAUGUUUCAUUGUAAAUUCUG